ensembl:lncRNA
GCAUCGCCCCGCGUCACGGGGCUCAGCCCGCGGCUCUCUGUGGGCUCUGCUCCCUCCCGGGGCGCCAUCUGGAGGGGUCGGCUGGCUGCUGGCUGGGGAGAGCCGGGGGGGUGGCUGGAGUGUGGCGACGGGAAAGGAAUAUGGAGUCAUUAAGGCUGGACUCAUCGCGCUGGGUGCGCGGAGGUGAGGAGGCACAACGACUGCGACGCGUUCCUCUGUUGAGGUCAAUCUCUUCAGCCGUGCGCUCAGCGAUACCGUUUUGUUUUGGCCUUUGAUGGGCGAUCGAGGCGAUAGAUGUCAAUCCCGUGAUAUUCAGCGUUGCACUUUCAGUGAAGCGCUGGCACCUCAUCCUCUGUUUGGGGAACGCAGUUACUUCCGACCUGUGCAACUCUAACGCAUACACCGUGCACAAACAUACACGCACCAUACACACAUACACGCACCAUAUGUACAAAUAUAACCCGACCGAGGAGCGCAGCUUAGGAAGGACGGGCAGCGCAGUUCGCACCAAAGCAUCUCGUUAAAACCACCGAGAAAACAGAGGUUGAAACAUGAUAAUGACGCAGAAUCCAUUCGGACCGAGCCUAAGCCGUAUAAACAUAGGAAGCGUUUAAAACCUCAGCAUUUCUCUGUUGUUUCUUUUGGUUUUAAAUAAGACAAAGCGGCCGCUUUAUUUCACGGUGCGUAUAUAUAGACGCACGAACGUACGGCCCCGAAGAGAGCUCUGGCACCUGCUGUAAGCUGGAGAUCACAGAGCAAAUGCUUUCUGCUUUCGUAAAUAAUAAACGCUGUCGGCGGACGGCAUUUCUCAGCAGGAAAGCCUCGCUGAGCGAAUGCGCUGCGAAAAUGUCCUGAAGGCUGAAUUCAUCCUAGAGCGGGACCAGAACCCGGGAGGAUUCGGCCCGCGUUUCUCAGGCUGGAGACACCCGAAUAGACCCCUGGGUCUGUUUAUUAGUUAUUAUUAUUAUUUUUUUCUUAAAAUCUGCAGGGACGGCUUUACUGAGCGUGCUUGGGUUUAUUUUUACUUGCUGAGCAGCGGGACGGGAAGAUUGGUAAUGUUAAAAGGGCUCGAGGAAAGAGACGGGGGAAAAAAAAUGAAGAUAUAUAUUUUAAAAAGGGGGGAAAAGGGCCACUUUCUAUGCUCGACAUCCGAGGGGGCCGCCCGGCUGCACGGAGCGGCUCCCCGUGCCCACGGCCCGGCCCUCCCCCGGCAGCGCGCUGCCAUCCGCGGCCGCGGGGCGGAGGGAGCAGCGGUAAUGGUUUUCCCCGCAGAUGUUGUGCCGGUGUUGAAGGGACCGAAUCUCGACUUCCAGGCGCAGCUGCGGGAUGUUGUAUCCUAUCAAUUCAUAACAAGGAGGCAUUCUGGAAAGCCUCGCCCACAUCUGGACUGAGGAGCGGAGAUGAUGGAGAGCGAGGAAUCGGCUGCAAGCAGCCUGCUUCACAGGCACUCCUGGAUGGGUCACCCCAUGCCUGCGAGCAAUGGGUCAGGGCAGUGCUGUCAAUAACAUGGUGUUGUAUGUAAAGCUGGGAGCACAGAGUCCCACACCGUUGUAUGUGCUCAGCAAAGCUCCCAUUUGCCUCCAGGAGAAUUCUGCCUAUGUAAGGACUUAAGAGCCAUUGCUAGGAGCUAAGAAAAGAGCAUUAUUAAUUCACUUCAUCGCUGGCUCAGUGAAAGCCAACAGCUUUCUGCAGUCUUGCCAAAAUGAAGAGGAGAUGGUCUGAGGUACAUGCAGGGUGAUUUUCAUACCGAAGGUGAGAAAGGAGAAAUCGUUUUAAGGUACGGUAACUUGCCGUACAAACGUGAUCUGUGUUCCCUCCCAGCUUUGAAAGGAGACUUUAUAAACUCUGUGGCCUUUGAUUUGUUAAGGCAACCUUAUACUUAUUUUUUUUAAUUCCCAAGUUUGUGAGAAAAUAGAAAGGAACCCUUGAUGUUCUUAUGCUCUCGAUUAUCACUUCAUUGUAGAAGUAUUUGCUUAAUGAAACAUACAGCAAAUAUUGCACUGUAAAACCUGUUGCAAUGUACUCAAUAUCUUUUGGAAUUAAUAGAAAAAAAAAUACAAGACUGCAGAAAAGGCACUAAUUUUUAUUUUAUCUAAUAAAAAUGUUACUUGACUGCAAAGCACUUUGCUUUAUUUUCUCACUUAUAUUGUAUAUAUUUGAAGAGAAAUGUCUGCUGCACGUCAUCUAUCUAACACAAAAAACUGAUGCUGUUAUUAAUAAGUUACAGAGAAAAAUAAACCAGUUUGCACUUUGAUUUUUAUCAUUCCUAGUGAGCGAUUCCUUUGGAAUAAACAUAACUCUAACACAUGUAAACAACACAGGAAAUUAAUAACAAAAUUCUUUGGAUUUAUUUCAGAUGCCACAUACUUUAUGUAAAUAUAUGCGGCUUUCAAUUUCAAUGAUUUUCCAGUAAGUAAUAAACUUUGCUCAUUAACCUC